AGGGCAAGGCGGCAGCAUUAACUGCAAGUCGAACGGCAGCACGGGAGCUUGCUCCUGGUGGCGAGUGGCGAACGGGUGAGUAAUAUAUCGGAACGUGCCCUAGAGUGGGGGAUAACUAGUCGAAAGAUUAGCUAAUACCGCAUACGAUCUAAGGAUGAAAGUGGGGGAUCGCAAGACCUCAUGCUCGUGGAGCGGCCGAUAUCUGAUUAGCUAGUUGGUGAGGUAAAGGCUCACCAAGGCGACGAUCAGUAGCUGGUCUGAGAGGACGACCAGCCACACUGGAACUGAGACACGGUCCAGACUCCUACGGGAGGCAGCAGUGGGGAAUUUCGGACAAUGGGGGCAACCCUGAUCCAGCAAUGCCGCGUGAGUGAAGAAGGCCUUCGGGUUGUAAAGCUCUUUUGUCAGGGAAGAAACGGUAGAGGCUAAUAUCCUUUGCUAAUGACGGUACCUGAAGAAUAAGCACCGGCUAACUACGUGCCAGCAGCCGCGGUAAUACGUAGGGUGCAAGCGUUAAUCGGAAUUACUGGGCGUAAAGCGUGCGCAGGCGGUUGUGCAAGACAGAUGUGAAAUCCCCGGGCUCAACCUGGGAAUUGCAUUUGUGACUGCACAGCUAGAGUGUGUCAGAGGGGGGUAGAAUUCCACGUGUAGCAGUGAAAUGCGUAGAUAUGUGGAGGAAUACCGAUGGCGAAGGCAGCCCCCUGGGAUAACACUGACGCUCAUGCACGAAAGCGUGGGGAGCAAACAGGAUUAGAUACCCUGGUAGUCCACGCCCUAAACGAUGUCUACUAGUUGUCGGGUCUUAAUUGACUUGGUAACGCAGCUAACGCGUGAAGUAGACCGCCUGGGGAGUACGGUCGCAAGAUUAAAACUCAAAGGAAUUGACGGGGACCCGCACAAGCGGUGGAUGAUGUGGAUUAAUUCGAUGCAACGCGAAAAACCUUACCUACCCUUGACAUG
rnacentral:rRNA from 1 species